rnacentral:rRNA from 1 species
CGCGUAGGCGGCUAUGUAAGUCAGAUGUGAAAGCCCCGGGCUCAACCUGGGAAUUGCAUUUGAUACUGCAUAGCUAGAGUUUGGUAGAGGGAAGUGGAAUUCCACAUGUAGCGGUGAAAUGCGUAGAUAUGUGGAGGAACACCAGUGGCGAAGGCGACUUCCUGGACCAAAACUGACGCUGAGGUGCGAAAGCGUGGGUAGCAAACA